rnacentral:snRNA from 1 species
GUGCUCAUUUCGGCAGCACAUAUACUAAAAUUGGAAUGAUACAGAGAUAUGAUAGCACGGCCCCUGCGCAAGGGUGACACGCAAAUUCGUGAAGCUUCCCUAUUUUUG